rnacentral:rRNA from 1 species
CAGCCGCCACGGUAAUACGAAGGGUGCAAGCGUUAAUCGGAAUUACUGGGCGUAAAGCGUGCGUAGGCGGUGAGUUAAGUCUGCUGUGAAAUCCCCGGGCUCAACCUGGGAAUGGCAGUGGAUACUGGCUCGCUAGAGUGUGUCAGAGGAUGGUGGAAUUCCCGGUGUAGCGGUGAAAUGCGUAGAGAUCGGGAGGAACAUCAGUGGCGAAGGCGGCCAUCUGGGACAACACUGACGCUGAGGCACGAAAGCGUGGGGAGCAAACAGGAUUAGAUACCCGCGUAGUCCCUGUCUCUUAUAC